AAGUCGUAACAAGGUUUCCGUAGGUGAACCUGCGGAAGGAUCAUUAACACGUAUCCAACGUUAAACCCCCCGUGCACACAGCGACCUGCUCCCCUCAAUUUCGGUCUUUUGGCAAUCCCUGGUAAAUCAUCGCCGAACAGUUUUGAUUCAAGGACAUCCAAAGGGCCGGGGUAGGGUAUUAAAGUAGUAGUCCAUGCAAAGCAAAGAACGGACCGAGUGGUAGUUCAAAGGUGCCUUCUGUCGCGCACUGUGGAAAGGAAGACGCUUUACGAAUCACUGUCCAACACGGUCAGUGACCGGGUUCCUGGUCCUAGACCCCAUAUUCACCACCACAGUCGCAGACGAGGUAGGGAUACGUCCCUACCACCAAAUAAAUACUUGAACAACUGUUAACAAUGGAUAUCUUGGUUCUC
rnacentral:misc_RNA from 1 species